AGAACCUUGGCGAGAGAGUGGCGAGUGUGUGAAGGGAGGUAGGAGUAUGCCCCUUCAGCUUGGUUCUGCGAUUUCGGAUAAGAAAACAGGUUGGACUAGGUUAAAGCUUCUAGAGACCCCAGGAUUGCUUCAGGCCAGCAGAACCCACUGGAGAAAAAAAUAUUGAUAAAUAAUUUAUCUUCACAUCAUAUAGUUUGGAAUUACUGAGAGGAAGAACCUUGGGUUUAAAGUUUUUCUGCUGAAGUGACACCUCGAGUAGCAUGUCUACACUGACACAUGUUUUUUAGCUCUAUCCAUACUUGCAAAACAAAGUAUUAUUUUGAAAACGCCCAACACUAUUAAAAAAAAACUAGUUAUUGAUUUUGGUAGGUCAACUUUCAGAGUUCACAGGCUCCAUCUAGGAAUGAUAGGAGUAAAAUCAUAGUUCUUACUCCAAAGUAAAUAAAAACACUUAUCUUUUCUUGGUGUCAGUAGUCAGGGUAAGCUCCUGUUUAAAUGU